rnacentral:lncRNA from 1 species
AUCUCCUGACCUCGUGAUCCGCCCACCUCAGCCUCCCAAAGUGCUGGGAUUACAGGCAUGAGCCACCGUGCCUGCCUUUCAUUGCCUCUUGAAAAGAGCUUGUCUUGUUUAUACUGUAGAAAUUCCUUGAGCUCAUAGGCAUUGCUCAGGGUCAGAUGACAGUUCUGAGACUCACUGAGUUGCUGGAACGAGGGGAGAGGCUGCCACGGCCCGACAAAUGUCCCUGUGAGGUCUAUCAUCUCAUGAAGAACUGCUGGGAGACAGAGGCGUCCUUUCGCCCAACCUUCGAGAACCUCAUACCCAUUCUGAAGACAGUCCAUGAGAAGUACCAAGGCCAGGCCCCUUCAGUGUUCAGCGUGUGCUGAGGCACAAUGGCAGCCCUGCCUGGGAGGACUGGACCAGGCAGUGGCUGCAGAGGGAGCCUCCUGCUCCCUGCUCCAGGAUGAAACCAAGAGGGGGAUGUCAGCCUCACCCACACCGUGUGCCUUACUCCUGUCUAGAGACCCCACCUCUGUGAACUUAUUUUUCUUUCUUGGCCGUGAGCCUAACCAUGAUCUUGAGGGACCCAACAUUUGUAGGGGCACUAAUCCAGCCCUUAAAUCCCCCAGCUUCCAAACUUGAGGCCCACCAUCUCCACCAUCUGGUAAUAAACUCAUGUUUUC